GACGUAGGGCGCGAGCGUUGUCCGGAUUUAUUGGGCGUAAAGAGCUCGUAGGCGGCUUGUUGCGUCGACUGUGAAAACCCGCGGCUUAACUGCGGGCUUGCAGUUGAUACGGGCAGGCUAGAGUUCGGUAGGGGAGACUGGAAUUCCUGGUGUAGCGGUGAAAUGCGCAGAUAUCAGGAGGAACACCGGUGGCGAAGGCGGGUCUCUGGGCCGAUACUGACGCUGAGACGCGAAAGCGUGGGGAGCGAACAGG
rnacentral:rRNA from 1 species